rnacentral:piRNA from 1 species
UGCUCCUGCACAUGCGCACGUUUAUGCAA